GGAUCUUUAGCUCAGCUGGUCAGAGCACUCGGCUCAUAACCGAUUGGUCGUAGGUUCAAAUCCUACAAGAUCCACCA
rnacentral:tRNA from 2 species